rnacentral:rRNA from 1 species
ACGGGGUGCAGCAGGCGCGAAAACUUUACAAUGCGAGCAAUCGUGAUAAGGGAACUCCGAGUGCCUGUAAAAUCAGGCUGUCCGCCAGUGUAAAUAACUGGUGAAGAAAGGGCCGGGCAAGACCGGCGCCAGCCGCCGCGGUAAUACCGGCGGCUCGAGUGGUGGCCACUAUUACUGGGCUUAAAGCGUUCGUAGCUGGUCUGUUAAGUCUCUGGGGAAAUCUUCCGGCUUAACCGGAAGGCGUCUCAGGGAUACUGGCAGACUAGGGACCGGAAGAGGUGAGAGGUACUCCAGGGGUAGGAGUGAAAUCCUGUAAUCCUUGGGGGACCACCUGUGGCGAAGGCGUCUCACCAGGACGGCUCCGACAGUGAGGAACGGAAGCUGGGGGAGCAAACCGGAUUAGAUACCCGGGUAGUCCCAGCUGUAAACGAUGCGCGUUAGGUGUAUCGGUGACCACGAGUCACCGAGGUGCCGAAGAGAAAUCGUGAAACGCGCCGCCUGGGAAGUACGGUCGCAAGGCUGAAACUUAAAGGAAUUGGCGGGGGAGCAC